rnacentral:rRNA from 1 species
UACGUGUGUACCGAGCGUUAUCCGGAUUUAUUGGGCGUAAAGCGAGCGCAGACGGUUUAUUAAGUCUGAUGUGAAAGCCCGGAGCUCAACUCCGGAAUGGCAUUGGAAACUGGUUAGCUUGAGUGUUGUAGAGGUAAGUGGAACUCCAUGUGUAGCGGUGGAAUGCGUAGAUAUAUGGAAGAACACCAGUGGCGAAGGCGGCUUACUGGACAACAACUGACGUUGAGGCUCGAAAGUGUGGGUAGCAAAUAGG